rnacentral:rRNA from 1 species
CAGCCGCCGCGGUAAUACGUAGGUCCCGAGCGUUAUCCGGAUUUAUUGGGCGUAAAGCGAGCGCAGGCGGUUAGAUAAGUCUGAAGUUAAAGGCUGUGGCUUAACCAUAGUACGCUUUGGAAACUGUUUAACUUGAGUGCAGAAGGGGAGAGUGGAAUUCCAUGUGUAGCGGUGAAAUGCGUAGAUAUAUGGAGGAACACCGGUGGCGAAAGCGGCUCUCUGGCUUGUAACUGACGCUGAGGCUCGAAAGCGUGGGGAGCAAACAGGAUUAGAUACCCCGGUAGUCCCUGUCUCUUAUACA